CCUACGGGCGGCAGCAGUGGGGAAUAUUGCACAAUGGGGGAAACCCUGAUGCAGCGACGCCGCGUGAGUGAAGAAGUUAUUCGUUUUGUAAAGCUCUAUCAGCAGGGAAGAAAAUGACGGUACCUGAGUAAUAAGCCCCGGCUAACUACGUGCCAGCAGCCGCGGUAAUACGUAGGGGGCAAGCGUUAUCCGGAUUUACUGGGUGUAAAGGGAGCGUAGACGGCAGUGCAAGUCUGGAGUGAAAGGCGGGGGCUCAACCCUCGGACUGCACUGGAAACUGUAAGGCUGGAGUGUAGGAGAGGUAAGUGGAAUUCCUGGUGUAGCGGUGAAAUGCGUAGAUAUUAAGAGGAACACCAGUGGCGAAGGCGGCUUACUGGACUGUAACUGACGUUGAGGCGCGAAAGCGUGGGGAGCAAACAGGAUUAGAUACCCGGGUAGUC
rnacentral:rRNA from 1 species